rnacentral:rRNA from 1 species
GUUGACGCNGGCGGCAGGCCUACACAUGCAAGUCGAGCGGUAACAUUUCUAGCUUGCUAGAAGAUGACGAGCGGCGGACGGGUGAGUAAUGCUUGGGAACAUGCCUUUAGGUGGGGGACAACCAUUGGAAACGAUGGCUAAUACCGCAUAAUGUCUACGGACCAAAGGGGGCUUCGGCUCUNGCCUUUAGAUUGGCCCAAGUGGGAUUAGCUAGUUGGUGAGGUAAUGGCUCACCAAGGCGACGAUCCCUAGCUGGUUUGAGAGGAUGAUNAGCCACACUGGAACUGANACACNNUCCAGACUCCUACGGUAGGCANCAGNGGNGAAUAUUNNACANUGNGCUCAUGCCUNAUNCAUCUCAUGCC